rnacentral:rRNA from 1 species
AACGAACGCUGGCGGCAUGCCUAACACAUGCAAGUCGAACGAGACCUUCGGGUAUAGUGGCGCACGGGUGCGUAACGCGUGGGAACCUGCCCUUAGGUUCGGAAUAACUCCCCGAAAGGGGUGCUAAUACCGGAUAAUGUCUUCGGACCAAAGAUUUAUCGCCUUUGGAUGGGCCCGCGUUGGAUUAGCUAGUUGGUAGGGUAAAAGCCUACCAAGGCGACGAUCCAUAGCUGGUCUGAGAGGAUGAUCAGCCACACUGGGACUGAGACACGGCCCAGACUCCUACAGGAGGCAGCAGUGGGGAAUAUUGGACAAUGGGCGAAAGCCUGAUCCAGCAAUGCCGCGUGAGUGAUGAAGGCCUUAGGGUUGUAAAGCUCUUUUACCCGGGAUGAUAAUGACAGUACCGGGAGAAUAAGCUCCGGCUAACUCCGUG